UUUCACAGAUGUUCAUUAAGACCCAAGUAAUGAAACGAGUUGGCCGCGACAGUAAAUCGGGCUGAUUUUCAAGUUCGAACGAGCCCUAAAGCAGAGCAGUUGAUUCCGACGGGCAAAAGUUUAAUUUUCAAGUUCAAAUGAAUUGCAAAGCAGAUAAACACCCAUUUUAUCAAUUUCGUGUGCGUCCAUGAAAUUUAAUUACUCUGAAAUCUAGAUUAUUUUUGCUAAAUUUUUUUAUGGAUUUCUUUUAAGAUCUUGGUAAUGGAGUCUGUUGUUACCCAAGACUAAAAAAUCCUAUUUUCAAGUUCAAGCCAGCCACAAAGAAGGUAAGCCUCUAUUUGCCAAUUUUCAUGUGGUAUAGUCUAUGAAAUUUUGGUCAUUCGGAAUUCCAGAUUUCUUUUGCCGAAUUUUUUCAUGGACGUUAAUUAAGACCUUUGUAAUCAAGCCAGUAAGUUCCGAUGGAAAAACAGACUCAUUUUCAAGUUUAAACGAGCUUUAAAUCAGAAAUUUUCAUGGACAUUUUUUAAGACCUUACUAAUGAAGCCAAUUGGUCCCUAUGGACAUACAUGCACAUUUUCAAGUACAAAUGAGCCACAAAGCAGAUAAACCCCAUUUUAUUGAUUUUUGUAUGCUAUAGUCCAUAAAUUUUUUGUGAUCUAAAAUUUCAAAUUUAUUCUUUCAAAAUAUUUUAUGGAUGUCCAUUAAGACCUUAGUAAUAGAGUCAGUUGGUCCCAAUAGGUAAACGAGCCCCAAAGCAG